rnacentral:lncRNA from 1 species
UCGGGUUGGGUGAUCGCGUCUGUGUACAUCUGGAAAACAGCGUCGAGAAUGUGGUUGUUCUUUUCAGCAUCCCUUUCACGGGGGCGUCGGUGCUGCUAUCAAAUCCUGUGCUCAACGAAAGUGAGCUUCUCUUUCAAGUCGGCCAUGGAGAUGCCACUCACAUCUUGACGAGUCCACAGCACGCUGCUAAGGUUCAUGCAGUUAAGAGAAAAACGAACGUUAAGGGUUUGUUUGUAAUCGGCGAGCCUGUUCCUGGGUUUGUGUCCGUGUCUGAUUUCACUGAAUUGAACGAAGACGACUUCAAAGAAGUGCCUAUCGGAGACCCUAAGCAGACCACUGUCGCUGUGUACUUCUCGUCUGGCACGACGGGCGAUG